CAUGGCAACCUGUAAACAUGUCAGUGGCGUCACAAUGUUGCACAACAGCAGCAGAACAUUGGAUGGAGGGUCAUUGUAUCAUUACACAGUGUCACUGUCUAUUCUACUGUAUUGGUACAUGUGGUAUUACAAUACAUUAGAAGAUCUGUAGAUGGGAGCAUUGAAACAAUUUACAACACAUCGUCAACUAGCAACCUGCUCUGUUUCAGUGCUGUUUAAAUAUCCCACUUAUUUUAUUCUGCUGUUAGAGGCCAUCAGUAGAGACAGUCAGGAAAAUAGUCUUUGUAGCAAGUUUUUUUCUGUCAAACCUGGGAAGUGUGUCUAUAUAGCACCAUACGUUCUUCAGAAGCUGGACAGCAUAUGAAUAGAAUCCAUCUUCUCUCACCUUCUCCCCUCAAGACCAACAUCACACAAGAUGCUUCAGAACAACAACAACAACAACAAGCUGGUGAAGUUGCUACCCAACAGGAACAACCAAUAUAUUUAAGUUCUAUAGUCUACCAAGUGUUAAUGUCAUUGUAGAGGGUGGGUCCCAAAGACCCUCCCCAUUAGUGAUUAAGGGGACUUGAAGAUUCAUAUGUUUUGCUGCAGGCCUUAUAAUAGAUACUGUUUCUAUGUGUCUAAACUCUGCCACUAUACGUUGUACAAGCAUCUAUAUUAGUCUUUGUGGUUAGGCCCUGGCUGAUGUGAGAGUGGGCUUGCAGGCUGGGUCUGAGUCUAUAUUAGUCUUUGUGGUUAGGCCCUGGCUGAUGUGAGAGUGGGCUUGCAGGCUGGGUCUGAGUCUAUAUUAGUCUUUGUGGUUAGGCCCUGGCUGAUGUGAGAGUGGGCUUGCAGGCUGGGUCUGAGUCAGACUGAAACUAGAUAAAGAGAAGUAACCACUGUCUGGUUUUGACAUGUUGAUAUUGUGUGGUAGUGGACAAUGCUAAUGAAUUCACAGAAGCUACUGUACCAGGUUACUUUAUAAGGUAACCUCAGCUUAUUGAUACACACAUACAUUGACGUAGGUGAUUAUACCACCAGGUAGUGACCACAUGUAUAUAAUCAGCUGUGCCCUUAGGUGGGUUGCAGAACUUACUCUGAAACAUACAUGCUGUGUUCCCGUUGUCAACUUCUGUCUGCAACCACAUUAAUAAAUGAAUGAUUGAUUUACUUAAA